CAGGAGCGUCUUCUGGUGCUGCAGAUGAUGAUGAUGAUGAUGAUGAGGCUACCGGUUCUGAAGCCGGUAGUGAGGAAGGUUCUGAGCCCUUGGAGGGUUAAGUUAUUGUAUUUUUCAUUUUUUAUGUUUAUUUCUAUUGUAUUUUCGGAUUGCUGUAUUUUGAUUUUGGCUUUGUACUUUUGGGGUGUUUUGUCCCCCAUGAACAAUUUU
rnacentral:lncRNA from 1 species